rnacentral:rRNA from 1 species
GCUUACGGCCAUACCAGCCUGGGUACGCCCGAUCUCGUCUGAUCUCGGAAGCUAAGCAGGGUCGGCCCUGGUUAGUACUUGGAUGGGAGACCGCCUGGGAAUACCAGGUGCUGUAAGCA